GACGAACGCUGGCGGCGUGCCUAACACAUGCAAGUCGAGCGGAGUCAGUAAGAGGAAGUUUUCGGAUGGAAUCUUGCUGGUUUAGCGGCGGACGGGUGAGUAACGCGUGAGCGACCAACCUUGCACAGGGGGAUAACGGACCGAAAGGUUCACUAAUACCGCAUGAGACCACGGUGUUGCAUGACACAGGGGUCAAAGGAGCAAUCCGGUGCAAGACGGGCUCGCGUCCGACUAGGUAGUUGGAGGGGUAACGGCCCACCAAGCCUAUGAUCGGUAGCCGACCUGAGAGGGUGAUCGGCCACAUUGGAACUGAGAUACGGUCCAAACUCCUACGGGAGGCAGCAGUGGGGAAUAUUGGGCAAUGGGGGAAACCCUGACCCAGCAACGCCGCGUGAAGGAAGAAGGUUUUCGGAUUGUAAACUUCUGCCCUUGGUGAAGAGAAGAAGACGGUAGCCAAGGAGGAAGCCCCGGCUAACUACGUGCCAGCCGCCGCCGUAA
rnacentral:rRNA from 1 species